GACGAACGCUGGCGGCGUGCUUAACACAUGCAAGUCGAACGGAAAGGCCCUGCUUUUGUGGGUUUCUCGAGUGGCGAACAGGUGAGUAACACGUGAGUAACCUGCCCUUGACUUUGUGAUAACUUCAGGGAACUGGGGCUAAUACCCGGUAGGAGCUCCUGCUGCGUGGGGGGGGUUGGUAAGAUUCGGCGGUUGGGGAUGGACUCGCGGCUUAUCAGCUUGUUGGUGUGGUAGUGGCUUACCAAGGCUUUGACGGGUAGCCGGCCUGAGAGGGUGACCGGCCACAUUGGGACUGAGAUACGGACCAGACUCCUACGGGAGGCAGCAGUGGGGAAUAUUGCACAAUGGGCGGAAGCCUGAUGCAGCAACGCCGCGUGCGGGAUGACGGCCUUCGGGUUGUAAACCGCUUUCGCCUGUGACGAAGCGUGAGUGACGGUAAUGGGUAAAGAAGCACCGGCUAACUACGUG
rnacentral:rRNA from 1 species